AACGAACGCUGGCGGCAUGCCUAACACAUGCAAGUCGAUCGAGCCCUUCGGGUCUUGUGGCGCCUGGGUGCGUAACGCGUGGGAACCUGCCCUUAGGUUCGGCAUAACUCCCCGACAGGGGUGCCAAUACCGGAUCAUGUCUUCUGCCCGAAGAUUUAUCGCAUUUGGUUGGUCCCGCGUUGGAUUAGCUUGUUGUUAGGGUAAUAGCCUACCAAGGCGCGGAUCCAUAACUGGUCAGAGAGAAUGAUCAGCCACUCUGGGACUCAGACACGGCCCAGACUCCUACGGGAGGCAGCAGUGGGGAAUAUUGGACAGCGGGCGGAAGGCUGAUCCAGCUAGGCCGCGUAAGUGCUGAAGGCCUUAGGGUUGUAAAGCGCUUUUACCCGGGAUGAUAAUGACAGUACCGGGAGAAUAAGCCCCGGCUAACUACGUG
rnacentral:rRNA from 1 species